UAAACAUCAUCUCAAGAUUCAUUUACGGGUCAUAGUACUUGCAUUUGGUUCUUGAUGGAAAUUUACAUAUUAUUCAACGGAUACAUGAGUGAACGGCGCCAUAAGUGCCUCCAUCUGCGUGAAAGGACACUCGUUCUUGCCGCAUCUUUGAGGGGCAAACCACAAAGAAUUUGAACAAGUGUAUCGUCAUCCAACUUAUUGAGAGAUUCACCUUCUGAACGGAUUGAUCUUUCACGAACUUCCAAAUUGAUCACGUUAUCACGAACCGACACAGCAGAAGACGACAUUGCCGCUCCCUUUGUUAUCUUUUGAGAUUCCGUGAAGCAACACAACACAACACGCAGAAUUUGCGGAAGCAAAUACAACACCGGAAAAAUGGCCGGCGAGCAGCGGUGGUGGUGAUUUGGGGCUUUGUAAUUAAAAGCAAAACUAGGG
rnacentral:misc_RNA from 1 species